UAGCUUUUACAUAGUCUCACUACUAACUC
rnacentral:piRNA from 1 species